rnacentral:rRNA from 1 species
GUCCACGCCGUAAACGUUGGGAACUAGGUGUUGGCGACAUUCCACGUCGUCGGUGCCGCAGCUAACGCAUUAAGUUCCCCGCCUGGGGAGUACGGCCGCAAGGCUAAAACUCAAAGGAAUUGACGGGGGCCCGCACAAGCAGCGGAGCAUGUGGCUUAAUUCGACGCAACGCGAAGAACCUUACCAAGGCUUGACAUAUACCGGAAACGGCCAGAGAUGGUCGCCCCCUUGUGGUCGGUAUACAGGUGGUGCAUGGCUGUCGU